UACGUAGGGCGCAAGCGUUGUCCGGAAUUAUUGGGCGUAAAGAGCUCGUAGGCGGUUUGUCGCGUCUGCUGUGAAAACCCGAGGCUCAACCUCGGGCCUGCAGUGGGUACGGGCAGACUAGAGUGUGGUAGGGGAGACUGGAAUUCCUGGUGUAGCGGUGGAAUGCGCAGAUAUCAGGAGGAACACCAAUGGGCGAAGGCAGGUCUUCUGGGCCACAACUGACGCUGGAGGAG
rnacentral:rRNA from 1 species